rnacentral:rRNA from 1 species
UACGGAGGGUGCGAACGUUGCUCGGAAUCAUUGGGCGUAAAGCGCACGUAGGCGGUCACGUAAGUCAGGUGUGAAAGCCCUGGGCUCAACCCAGGAAGAGCACAUGAAACUGCAUGGCUUGAGUACGGAAGGGGGUCUCGGAAUUCCCGGUGUAGAGGUGAAAUUCGUAGAUAUCGGGAGGAACACCAGUGGCGAAGGCGGAGACCUGGGCCGAUACUGACGCUGAGGUGCGAAAGCGUGGGGAGCAAACAGG